GCAAUAGAACAAUUAUUUUAUUUUAUAUUUUAUUUCAUUCCAACACAUUGCUUGCAAUCCGUUUUGUUGUAUAAUUGUAUUGAUCCAUCCAUAGCUAUUAUGUUCCCUUGCCUGAUAAUAAAUACUCUAUUCAUACAAUCCACAAAAGUUAGAUUGUAUACAAAUCUAUCAUCUAUCAACUAUCAAUCAUCACUAACCUAUCAACAAUCAGUUACUUUUCCCAAACAAAGUUAUUGUCACAUUCAUAAAAUUAAAGGGAUGUUUGAAUGGGGUGUUUUGGAAGGGUAUUUUGAAAGGUUAACUGAGUCUAUAUUUUGA